GAAUAAUCAACAUUACUAGUUCUAGUGUUUGAUUGUUUCAGGAAACAUUUACAAAAUAUUGAUCAUAUUUCCACCAAGUUCUGUGGGAUUCUGUGGGAAGUACUGUAGCCUUGACCGAAGACAACAAAUAUCAAUUGGCCGUGUUUAGGAAGAAAUAUAUUAACAAUGUUCAAGGUCAAAUGUUAUUUUAUGCACAACUCAUCUAGAUCUGGCCUAAUUUUGUUUAAAUGCUGUUCCUCAAUUUACAAAUUUUUGAAGGUCGUAUACCAUUUUUUAUUUGGUUUUUAAAAAUUUAAUUUAAUUAGGUUUUUAUUUAAUAAAUUAAUUCUCAAACAACUUUAUUUUUAAAGCCAAAUUAUUCUUAAUUGCUCCGUAUUAUAUAAUAUUUCCCUUAACUUUAUUAUAUUAACAACAAAUAUUAUUCAAUACAUUAUAAAUAUUUUAAGUUCUGUAGUUUAUUGUUAUAAUUUUAAAAUUGUAUAAUAAUAAGAAACCCUCACCUGAUAAUUUAAAUGUGUGAUGUUCAGGAAGCAUCUGCCUCACAAUAGGCAUUCUUCUCCAAAGAUAAACUAUAUGAAUGCGAUGUUUGUGAGAAGAAAUAUGUAAAGAAUGAUUAUGAUCAUAUAACUUCUCUCACAUAUCGCA